rnacentral:rRNA from 1 species
UACGGAGGGUGCAAGCGUUAUCCGGAAUCACUGGGUUUAAAGGGUGCGUAGGCGGUUUGAUAAGUCAGUUGUGAAAUUCCCCGGCUUAACCGGGUGGACUGCGAUUGAUACUGUUGAACUUGAAUCAGGUUGAGGUCGGCGGAAUGUGACAUGUAGCGGUGAAAUGCUUAGAUAUGUCAUAGAACACCUAUUGCGAAGGCAGCUGGCUAGACCUGUAUUGACGCUGAGGCACGAAAGCGUGGGGAGCGAACAGG